CAGUAGCCGCGGUAAUACGGAGGGUGCAAGCGUUAUCCGGAAUUAUUGGGCGUAAAGCGCGCGUAGGCGGUUUCUUAAGUCUGAUGUGAAAGCCCACGGCUCAACCGUGGAGGGUCAUUGGAAACUGGGAAACUUGAGUGCAGAAGAGGAAAGUGGAAUUCCAUGUGUAGCGGUGAAAUGCGCAGAGAUAUGGAGGAACACCAGUGGCGAAGGCGACUUUCUGGUCUGUAACUGACGCUGAUGUGCGAAAGCGUGGGGAUCAAACAGGAUUAGAUACCCCCGUAGUCCCUGUCUCUUAUAC
rnacentral:rRNA from 1 species